GUUAUUCUAGAUUUCAUAAGGAUUGUCAUUGUUUUCUUUAAAUAUAACACAUUUUAUUUCACUUACCCCCACAAUUUCAGCCAUAUUUUGCCGUCUUGUUUGCUUUUUAUCGCCGAGACUCGCAAAUAUCAUCCAGUUGCUGUACUUUUACAUAAUGAUAAAUGGCUAAAGAAGAUUCAACCAAGUUUCGUCAAGUUUUGAAGCAGUGCAUUUUAUCCUUCGAUAUUUCAUCAAAUUGCCGCCUAAGCGCCAAUGCAAUGCCUCACCGCUUCUCUGCCCGAUAAAUGCCAUUUAUUCGUCUUCAUAUGUAUUUAUAGAUUACAGUAUCCAAGAGUACUUCAUUGUAGAAUAGUCCCAAUCGAAUAAUUGGAAAAGUGAAAUAAAAUGUAUUAUAUUUAAAGAAAACAAUGACAAUUGACAAUCCUUAUGAAAUCUACAAAAAUUGUAUUAAAUUUAAUAAGCAUAGUUUUUCAUCCCAUGAAAAUUUUUUUUAGGAAAUAAGAAAUUUAAUUUCUGUCAGGUGUAUUAGUUAUUUUAUGCGUAAUUUACCUGGGGUGGUGCAUGGUCAUUUUCUUGUAAAAUAUUAUACUUAGACAAUUUUUUCCUUCCAAUAACCACCCCUAAAAGCAAGCCUUCUGAACACUAU
rnacentral:lncRNA from 1 species